GGACUACUGGGGUUUCUAAUCCUGUUUGCUCCCCACGCUUUCGCGCCUCAGUGUCAGUUCGAGCCCAGUGAGUCGCCUUCGCCACUGGUGUUCCUUCCGGUAUCUACGCAUUUCACCGCUACUCCGGAAAUUCCACUCACCUCUGCUCCACUCUAGAUCCGCAGUUUUGUAUGCAAUUCCCAGGUUAAGCCCGGGGCUUUCACAUCCAACAUACCAAUCCACCUACGCGCCCUUUACGCCCAGUCAUUCCGAUUAACGCUCGCACCCUCUGUAUUACCGCGGCGGCUGGCAC
rnacentral:rRNA from 1 species